rnacentral:rRNA from 1 species
UACGUAGGGGGCAAGGGUUGUCCGGAUUCAUUGGGCGUAAAGAGCGUGUAGGCGGCCAGGUAGGUCGGUUGUGAAAACUGGAGGCUCAACCUUCAGAGGUCGACCGAAACCAUCUGGCUAGAGUCCGGGAGAGGAGAGUGGAAUUCCUGGUGUAGCGGUGAAAUGCGCAGAUAUCAGGAAGAACACCCGUGGCGAAAGCGGCUCUCUGGAACGGUACUGACGCUGAGACGCGAAAGCGUGGGGAGCGAACAGG